rnacentral:lncRNA from 1 species
CUUUGAUAGCUUGUGUGUUCUCCUCUGCAAUACCUGUUUGCCAUCCCUGCCUUGGAGCCAGAUGAUUAUGGACUGAAACCUCUACAAACUAUGCUGGACAGCAGCAGUGAAGCUCCCAGGAGCUACAAGAACACAAGGCUGUGAAAGAGAUGGUUAUAAUAUGGAAAAAUGAAUCAAAGUCCUGAAUACAUCAUCUAAGGGAGUGGCAUCACCCCUUCUGCAGCUGUCCACCCCGUUGUUCCCUCACUAUGACUGGGAGGUGAAUAUAAUCUACUUACUUGAGCUUUCUGAAGCAAAGCCUGCUCCCUCAUUGCUGGUGUCAAGAGGUCUGCUGCCCUCUCUUCUCUUCUAAGAAGAUUGUGGGGAGAGAAACUCAAGCCUCAGAAGGCCCUAAUGUAACAAUCCUAUGCUCCUUUUUGGACCUGAAAAGAACCUGCACACUACAGUAGAGCAUUCAGGUGCAAGCAUCAAAAUGUCAUGAUCCUAAUGAAGGCUUAGACUGUAGACAUCCUUGGAUCAUCCUUAUCCAUCUCCUGAGGAAAAGCAGCUUCUAAAGAAGUGAACUUACUGGCUUCAGAAAUUGUGGGGAAGCUGAGCAGAUGAGAUCUCCUCCAUAACCUCUUGCUGUCAGAAGAAGAUCACCCACAAUCCUUCAGAGAGAGAAAGAGAGAGAACCAUUGGCUCAAUUGUAAUCAUAUGAUAUUUGGGAUCAUGUAUUAUUUGUAUUAUACAACAUUGCUUGUUUAUCAAGCUAAAAUUUGUUAGAAAUAUUUGCUUGUCUUGUAGAACACUAGCAGAACAAGUUACUUGCAAUCCAAGGUUUUACUCUGUGUGUAUAAAUUAUAAAACAUAAUUGUAAACUGGACACCCAAGAGUCCAUCAUCAAACUUAAACAAUGGAAUGUUACCAAUGUCAUUUGUUCAUUGCUAACCCCCAGCUGUGCUGCACCUUUACCCAGGUUUCCACUAUCCUGAAAGAUGC